UACGAACCGUACGAACGUUAUUCGGAAUCACUGGGCUUAAAGGGUUUGUAGGCGGCCUUGUAAGUGGGGUGUGAAAUCCCUCGGCUCAACCGAGGAAUAGCGCUCCAAACUACAUGGCUUGAGGGAGACAGGGGUAAGCGGAACUGAUGGUGGAGCGGUGAAAUGCGUUGAUAUCAUCAGGAACACCGGAGGCGAAGGCGGCCCACUGGGUCUUUUCUGACGCUGAGGGACGAAAGCUAGGGGAGCGAACGGG
rnacentral:rRNA from 1 species